rnacentral:rRNA from 1 species
ACCUCUCGCGGGGGUUUCGUUUUUUUUUCGGGCCCCCCUCCGCAAAAGGG